GGAACCUCAGAUUGCAGCUUUUAAAGUAUGCAAAUAUAUCUCUUUCAGGGGAAGACAGGGAGAUGGGUGUUUCUGUCUGCUUUCUCUGUGCUGAGCCCUGGGAUGAUAACCCGUUCAGAACUAGUCUUUUGUUCACUACCAUCCUGUUGAACCCAUGAAUGUAAGCCCCACUGGACAUCAGAGCCAGUUGGAUUUGUUGCUCUUGACUUCUACAAAACAAGAAAUGAAGACUAGGCAGUGUGAAGCAAUGGAAAGAUGGCUACAUCUUGGCAGUCUUAUUUUCAGAAGAUUAUCUGGUAUUCUUUAUUGAGAACCAGGAAAGACAAGCUUCAAGGCAGGGCAGUUGAAUGUCCUGAGCACCUGUCCCUUGACCUGCAGACAUAAAGUGAGGAUAAAUACUGGCCAAGAUGUAACAAACUUCGAUGGAGAAUCCUGGGCCACGUGGUGGCAUGCAGACCUUUUGUUACUGGGAAGUGAUGGGAGCUCCCUCAUGGGAGGGGCAGAGUGCCCUCCCUUGUCUCCACCUCCCCAUCAGGACCUGGAAGAAUCAGAAUCUGUCUCCCAUUGCUCUGGGGGUAGGAGGUCCCCUUCUGAGCUGGACAGGGAGAGAAUCUAUUCUAGAAUAGAUGAUCUCACCUCUUCCACCUAUUACUGUAUCAGCCAGGAAGGAGCUUGGGCGGCCACGUGGCUGAAGGAUUCGGGGAGCUCACGGUGCGGGCAGGCAGGACAGCCCAGCUCGCGCGGUGAGGAGGUCUCCUCCAAGGGUUCCUGAAGGAAGCGGGGCUCGGGUCUCCUGCAUUCUGGAAUUCUCAACCUACCUGUUCCCGAAUCCUCCCUCCCCACCCCAGGCUUUCAGCCCUCGGGUGCCUGGGACAGAAACAUCUUGACUCUCUUCCUUCUCUAAAUUUCCUUCUCGAGCCUCAGGCUGGGCUUUCCUUGAAUCCCUGCCCUUUCCGACCACCUCCCUCCUCUGUUGGCAGUUCAAACUCUACAGUCUAGUCCUCUGUGCUGGGCCGACAGUUAUUUCAAAGCCCAUCUUUGAGAUUUCUGGGAAAAUGCUUUCUCUUUCGUGUCUGGUUGUUGUAAUUGAAAGCUGGACAUUUUCGCAUCGACUGUGAACCCUUGGGGGAAAAAAAAUCAUGGCGGGGCUGUGCCUUUAUUCUAGACAGAUUCCCCUAUCCCCUGCGGCCAUGCUCACCUCAGCCUCACUGUGUGAAGAGCCCCAGGGUGGCACGCUUGAGUGGGAAUGAGAGAGAGACGAUUGAAAACAAAGUAUCUUUCCUGCUACCCCUCCAUUAAUUGAUAACAUGCUGCCUUUAUCAUACUUCCGUAUCUUCUUAUUUUCACAUCUCCCUUCGAUUUACCCACUGACUCUCACCCAGAUGCUCAGUCUGAGGUAAAGAGGGGCCAAAGCCCUAUUCAUCUCUAGAUUUCUUCAGCUCCUAAUGGGGUAUCAUCAGUGUCAUUGCCCUCCUCCCUCCGGAAGUGUUUGCUGCAUUGAGUUAAUUCUCAGUAUUUUAUUUAAAUUUCUGUAAAAUAGCUAUUUGUUUAUUUUUGAGAAAAAUGUCUCCUUUGCCUCUCUCCUUUUCUGGGUUGCUUAUUUAAAAUCCCGAGUAGAAAAUAAAACGCUCUCAGGAAUUUAACCUCUGAUUUUUUGAAACUUAUGCUUCCUUUAUUUAUAGUAAUGAUACCUGAAACCACCACCUGGACACUGCUUUAAAAAGGCACUGGCUGUCAUUAGCUUUGCUUGAUUAAAAAAGAGCUCAGAUAUGAUUCCCACAG
ensembl:lincRNA